GAUGAGCGCUAGCGGCAGGCUUAAUACAUGCAAGUCGAGGGGCAGCAGCUUUGUAGCAAUACAGGGGCUGGCGACCGGCAAACGGGUGCGGAACACGUACGCAACCUUCCUUUAACUGGAAGAUAGCCCACCGAAAGGUGGAUUAAUACUCCAUAACAUAUUGAAGAGGCAUCUCUUUGAUAUUAAAGCUCCGGCGGUUAAAGAUGGGCGUGCGUCUGAUUAGGUAGUUGGCGGGUAACGGCCCACCAAGCCUUCGAUCAGUAGCUGAUGUGAGAGCAUGAUCAGCCACACGGGCACUGAGACACGGGCCCGACUCCUACGGGAGGCAGCAGUAAGGAAUAUUGGUCAAUGGACGCAAGUCUGAACCAGCCAUGCCGCGUGGAGAAUGAAGGCCCUCUGGGUUGUAAAACUUCUUUUCUUUGGGACGAAAACCCCUGUUUCUACGGGGACUGACGGUACCAGAGGAAUAAGCACCGGCUAACUCGUGCCAGCAGCCGCGGU
rnacentral:rRNA from 1 species